AUUGAACGCUGGCGGCAGGCCUAACACAUGCAAGUCGAGCGAGCGGCGGACGGGUGAGUAAUGUAUGGGGAACUGCCCGAUAGAGGGGGAUAACUACUGGAAACGGUGGCUAAUACCGCAUACUAUCGGAUGAACCCAUAUGGGAUUAGCUAGUAGGUGGGGUAACGGCUCACCUAGUCGACGAUCCCUAGCUGGUCUGAGAGGAUGAUCGGCCACAAUGGUACUGAGACACGGCCCAGACUCCUACGUGAGGAAGCAGUGGGGAAUAUUGCACAAUGGGCGCAAGCCUGAUGCAGCCAUGCCGCGUGUAUGAAGAAGGCCUUAGGGUUGUAAAGUACUUUCAGCGGGGAGGCGUUACCCGCAGAAGAAGCACCGGCUAACUCCGUGCCAGCAGCCGCGGUAAUAC
rnacentral:rRNA from 1 species